rnacentral:rRNA from 1 species
GAUGAAUGCUGGCGGCGUGCCUAACACAUGCAAGUCGAGCGGCAGCGCGGGGUGCUUGCACCCUGUCGGCGAGCGGCGAACGGCUGAGUAACGCGUAGGAAUUUGCCCCAAAGUGAGGAAUAACUGCCCGAAAGGGUAGCUAAUGCCGCAUAUGGUCUUCGGAUUAUAGGAUUUAUCCGCUUUGGGAGAAGCCUGCGUUGGAUUAGGUUGUUGGUAGGGUAAUGGCCUACCAAGCCGACGAUCCAUAGCUGGUCUGAGAGGAUGAUCAGCCAGACUGGAACUGAGACACGGUCCAGACUCCUACGGGAGGCAGCAGUGAGGAAUCUUCCACAAUGGGCGAAAGCCUGAUGGAGCAACGCCGCGUGAAGGAUGAAGGCCUUCGGGUUGUAAACUUCUUUUAUGAGUGAAGAAUAUGACGGUAACUCAUGAAUAAGCACCGGCUAACUACGUG